rnacentral:lncRNA from 1 species
GGGUGCUUUCAUCCCCGCCCCCUUCAACUGCGCCGUAAUCCACGAGCCUGAACUCUUGGUGUUCAGAAAGAGAAGUGGGCUAGGGGAGGAGAAAGUGGAAGAGGCCGGCAACAGUCUGCCAGUUCUUGUGCCUCACUAACUUCCUCGGGCUAGAAAAGGACCCGCCGAAAGGGUUAUCAGAUGAAGAAAUCAAAAGUAUCAGUCACAUGAAAAAGUAUUCUAAAUCCCGCCUGAUUAGAGAAAUGCAAAUCAAAACAACUCUGAGAUACCACCUCAGAUCUAGCAGCUUGGCCAACAUGACAGUAAAGGUCCUUUCAGCAUCUUAUUCUGGAAAUAGACAUCAAUUCAAUAUUCCUGUUGCUUCUGAAAAGGGAAUGACAGUUGGCCAUUCACCAUCUAUAUGAGUCCCAGACAAGAAUGCUUUUAUUUUUUCUAGAUACUACUCUUUUUUCUAUGUUGUCUUUCACUUUUAGAAUGCAAGUUCCUUGAGGGCAGGAAUUGUCUUACUUUUUAAAUUUUGUGACCAGUGCCUGGCAUGAAGUACAUGCUUAAUAAAUGCUUCUUUUUCAUUUAUUCGACA